rnacentral:rRNA from 1 species
AUGGCCGCCGCCGCCGCGUUGGGUGGCGUGGAUGAUCUCGACUUCGACUUGGGUUUUAUGGACGGGUUCGAGUUCGACUUGCUGGACAUGGACCUCACCGAGUUCUGCGGCGGCGACGGCGAGUGCUUGCUGCCCGCCGUGGCCGAUAAGGAGGGCGGUUUCGGUUUGGAUCCGGGUUCUCGUGAUGGUGGCGACGGCGGGAGAGAGAGCUCGCCGGACUCCGUGGUGACGGACGACGGCGCGCCGCCGUCGGAGUCGCAUGGGGAUCGCGACGACGGCGGGAUGUCGACCUACGCGAGCGAGCUGGAGAGGUUCCUCAUGGAGGACGACGAUGGCGGGGACGCCGGCGGGCCGCUCGAUCUGAAGGAGCCUGCCGCGGACGACUACUUCUUGGGUGAUCUCGACGGCCGUUACGCCGAGCCGGCGACUCCAGGGAAGGAUCUCGUCCUCGACGACUACUUCUUGGGCGAUCUCGUCUCGUACGACUACUUCUACGAUCUUGCUGCUGCGGACGAUGCUGCAUCACCGGCGACGGAGGAGGAGGAUGAUUCUGCUCGCGAGGACGACUACUACGAAGCGACCUCGAGGAAGCGCGCAAGGCAGAGGAAGGGCGCCGCUGCGGUGUCACGCGAAGCAGAGCUCCGGGGAGCGCCGGUGAUGCAUGGCAUCUCGUCGAUCUCGACUGGAAUCGGGUGCCGGCCCCUUGGUCACCAUUGGCUGCAUCCCUGCACCACAGUGUGCCUGUUGGCCUGA